AGUGAACGCUGGCGGCGUGCCUAACACAUGCAAGUCGAACGAUGAUAGAGAGCUUGCUCUCUUGAUUAGUGGCGCACGGGUGAGUAACGCAUAGGUAAUGUGCCCCUUAGUUCGGGAUAGCCACUGGAAACGGUGAUUAAUACCGGAUACUCCUUCUCAUUAUAAGAUGAGUCGGGAAAGUUUUUCGCUAAGGGAUCAGCCUAUGUCCUAUCAGCUUGUUGGUGAGGUAAUGGCUCACCAAGGCUAUGACGGGUAUCUGGUUUGAGAGGAUGAUCAGACACACUGGAACUGAGACACGGUCCAGACUCCUACGGGAGGCAGCAGUAAGGAAUAUUGCACAAUGGAGGAAACUCUGAUGCAGCAACGCCGCGUGGAGGAUGACGCAUUUCGGUGUGUAAACUCCUUUUAAGAGGGAAGAUUAUGACGGUACCUCUUGAAUAAGCACCGGCUAACUCCGUGCCAGCCGCCGCUGUAACAC
rnacentral:rRNA from 1 species